CGCUCAAGCUGGGGGGCGGAGUCUUGGGCCCUCUGGCGUCAAAAGGUCGCGGAGCGGACACUCGCGCAGGCCCAGUUGGAGGGUGGUGGUCCUAACCAGUCUUAACCCGCUCAGCUCAAAUAGGACUCCGAUGACGCCAAGUUCCUGGGCAACACCUCCAGCAAACAAACAUCUUUUUGUUUAGGCAGUGUGCCAGGCCGCUUGGAGGACCUGUGAGCCUUUAAACGACCUUGACGAGCUAAGGCAGGUGGAAUGGAUAUGAGCAAUCAUUACCUGGUUUCACCUGCUCCUCUUUGAUCACCAGAGAUUAUGGGUAAAACAUUGCAGAAAGACGUACCCUUCUUCCGAAGAGGAUUCCCCCAUUUCUCUUGGAGGCUGCAAGAGGAAGCUGCUGAGACGACCACAGGGAGUUGUCUGGACUUUGCAGUGUGGCUCCCUGUCCUGGGAACUCUAGGCCUUGCAGUGGAAAGAAAACUCUAGGCCUUGCAGUGGAAAGAAAAUGAAUAGAUAUUGACUUGACUGCCCUUGGUACCUCGUAUCAGUGGAAUCCUACAGCGUUUGUCCUCUUGUGACAGGCUGAUGUCUUCGAGGUUCAUCCGUGCUGUAGGGCACUCAGGAUGUCCUCCCUCCUUGGGCCGAGUCCGGCUCCACUGUGGGCCUGGGCCGUGCUCAGUCAGCCCCUCAGCUGCGCGUGAGCAGGUGAGCCCCUCCUGCGUUCUUCUUCCGUGAGACUGCCGUGCACGAUGCUGCUGGAAUGUGGAUGUGCAACGAUCAUUUCAAGACCCUGCUUUCAGUCAUUUGGGGCACAUACUCAAAAGCAGAACUGUCACAUCACAGGGCGGUUUUGUUUUGAAGUUUCGGAGGAAUAGCCGUACUGUCCUCUGUAGCAGCAACACCGUUGCGGCAGCAGGUUCACUGGACCUUUGCGCCUGCACGGCCUCUGGGGCAGCGUUACAGGGAGGGGGACGCAAGGGCUGGGUGUGCAGGGGGUGCUGGCGUAGGGGGGGUGCUCUGGACUCUGGAGGCUCUGGUCCCGGGGACUUGAGGGUGGAUGAGGCAGGAGAAGCUGGGGCCACAGCCGUUCCAUGGUUUACCCUGGAGACUCCAGUGAACAGAGUGGGAGUGAUUUAUUUUCCACAAAGAGAGAUGACUUUGUCUUAAUUUGUGGGAGAAUGGAGGGCCAGGGGGUUCCUGAUGACAAGGUACUAUUCAGAGACCUAACUCUGUUCAGCGUUAUCUCCUCCAGAUUUUAUGGGACUUUAGGUAAAGGUGUUGGUGAGGAAGAGGGAGGGACAUGGCAGCAAUGGCACCAGUCUCUCUAUCCAGUAGAGACGGGCAGGCAGGGGUGCUACCUGAAAAAAAAGCUGGUCCUUGGAGAGUUCCUGUUGUGGCUCAGUGGUAAGGAACCCAGCUACUAUCUAUGAGGCU